rnacentral:rRNA from 1 species
UACGGAGGGUGCGAGCGUUAAUCGGAAUUACUGGGCGUAAAGCGCGCGUAGGCGGCGACAUAAGUUGGAGGUGAAAUCCCCGGGCUCAACCUGGGAACUGCUUUCAAAACUGUGUGGCUAGAGUAUGGUAGAGGUGAGUGGAAUUUCCUGUGUAGCGGUGAAAUGCGUAGAUAUAGGAAGGAACAUCAGUGGCGAAGGCGGCUCACUGGACUAAUACUGACGCUGAGGUGCGAAAGCGUGGGGAGCAAACAGG